rnacentral:lncRNA from 10 species
AAAGGCUGGAACAACAAAUGAAUACAGGAAUGAUGCUAAUAUAAAAAUACAAACCCUAAAUUUUCUUUAUAUAUUUUGAGGGUAAGCUAGUUUCAGAUUUUUCUCUAAGGUUUUGUAGGAAGAGAAAAAUUGGUCACACUAACGCCAUUUUAAAAUAUGCCCCCAUCUGUAAGAGGCAGAGCCACCUGAGGUGAAAAGGUAAACGGCUUGUGUAAGAUUUGGCUGAAAGUCCAGAAAUUAACUCAAGUCCUGGAACAUGUCCUGGGACACUCCCCCGGAACGAUUGUUCAAGUCCUGGAGUACGUUUCGGAACGCUGCUCCCGGAACACCGCUCCUGGAGCGAUUGUUUCAAUGUUGCUUGCUCGGAAUGGCCCUCCUGAGCAAACAACAGACGGUGCUCAAAGUAACAACUGGACUUAAUAAAAGGAGCUUACACGAAGGAGGAGCUGAAGGCUGCUGUGGUCGUGUGCUGGGGGCUGCCCCAGCUCCAGCUGCAGGACCCCGGCCGUCUGCCUUCCGACUCCGGUGAUGAUUCUUCCUGCGGUCUGAUCAAGAUUCUAUGCAGUUAACUUUGUAUCCAAGGAUCUAUAGCCAAGAAAUUUGGAGCUCAGUUUCAAACGCCAAAGGAAAUUGUAGUGGGAAAUUCCAAGGGUAGCAGAGUUAUGCAAAGUCACAGAAAAAAGAAAUAAUAGCAGAAUUCAGUUCUCUAUCCAUCCAACCAUUUUGCUCCCAGGAAACACACAGAGCAUUUACAGGACUAUGCUCUCCACACACCAUCGUUUGAAACAUUAGGAAAAAUACUGUUGGUAUAGCCUGUGUAUGAAACACAAUGAAGUUUUCCAAAGACACUUUCGCCUGAACAAAAUUUGACCCCUGUCAGUGAGAUGUCAGCACUAUAUGUCAAAUGAACUACAGGGGAAGCUUCUAAUAUAAAUAUGUUAUUGAAGACAAAGUCACUGGGCUCUUUGCAGCAGGGUCAGCUGAACCCAGGAAAUAUGUCCUACAUUUUAUCUGAAGAUCAGCAUAGAACGGCAGCCCCUGCUCCAUCUGUGAAAGGUUAAAGUGAUGUUCUUGCAGAUGCAAAGAGGCAGAGUGCAAGUUUGGCAGGAAGAAGGGUGACACUGCAAAAAAUGUCAUUUAAAAUGGGGUUGAAGGAUGUCCAGUAACUUCUAGACAGUUGCUUCUCCUGGUAUUAGGAGAUGAUUAUUCACUUUGCAGCAGAUUCCAACUGUUUCAUAUUCAGUAGAUCAGCAUGCUUCAGAAUCCUGCAUUGAUUAUAAUAAUUCCAAUUCUGUUAGCUUUUUUCGAGGGCUUACUCUGUGCUAUAACAAUCAGCUGAAUGAGGCAUUAUGUCACUAAUCCUAAAACAGCACCAGGAGACCCUUUAAUUUUUUUUCUAAUGCAUAUUAAUCUACCCACGUUAGUCCAUCUCUGCUAAAAACACCAGCCAGCAUUGUCUCUCUCUUAAAGUAUUUCAGUAACAUCAAGGUAGCUCUCCUUGUUUUCAUUCUUAUACCUUAAUCAUUUCUCUAUACAGCAAAGAGAUGGAUAUUUUUAUGGUCAUGAUAUAUCCUUGUGUGAUCUGUGCCCUGCCUACUCUAUCAGCUUAAUUUCAUAUCACUCUCCCCUCAAUUUCUGUGUUCUAGUUGUAUUAGUCUUUUUCUUUUUGUAGUUUCUUGACUAUUUCUUGUCUCUUCAUCACUUACACAUAUUUUCCUACAGAAGAAAGAUUUCUAUACCUAUCUCUUCUCCCUGCCCCUGGAAAACUCUAUUCUUCUUUGUCCCAAAUCUCAUUAGACACUUUUUAAAACCAUAUGCUCCUUCUUACUCGCAUUUAGAAUAACUGCAUUUCAACAGUCCUUGGACAAUUAAUUUGUUUUCAUCUCUGAUGCACAAGAAUGCAAGCUUUGAAAGGGCAGAGAACACAUCUUUUUGUUAAUUUCUUACUUCCUUAGCAAGCCAUUGUAUCACCUACACAUAAUUAGCACUAAAUAUAAGUAUUCAAAUAAAUGAAAGGCCCUUUAUGCUUAUAAUAUUAGGAAAAAUUGACGUUUUGAAUGAGAAGGAUCACUUUUACAGAGAAGAUAACACAUAAAAACAGGUAAAAGAUAGUCUUUGGAGGAACAUCAUCAUAAUUUUUGGGCCAAUACUAGGUAAUAAUAAUGACUCCCAGAGAGGGUGACCAUGGAAAGUAGCAGGAACUUACAAGCAGAACUGAGAGUCAUUAUAUAUAUGUAUACACAUAUAUAUGUGUGUAUAUAUAUACACACAUAUGUGUGUGUGUGUGUGUAUAUAUAUAUAUACAC